UGCAUGUAUACAUAUGUACGUAAACAUAUAAACAAAAUCUUUUUUUGUAAAGUAAGAAUCGAAAUAUGAAUGCUUAACAUUAUAAACUGCAUAUAACUAUUAUAGAUUAUAUACAUAUCACAUAUAAGCAUUUUAUCUAACUGAAAUAAAUCUUCGAGCGAUGACAUUAUCAAAGGUAUUUAAUCGGAAAAUUCUCGUCAAUCCUUACUAAACAGAUGGACACUAGAAGCUAUCUAUAUUUGCGAAAAACGUUCUAAAUUAAGUAAUAAAAAGACUUGUAGCCGUCUAAUGAAUAUCGCCUGUACGUAUGAAGAAACAAUGCUGCUAUGUGUCGUGUAAAGCUUGACAGUUAAACAUAAGAAGUAAGAAUAAAGACAUCCAUAUAUAUGCGUCAGGAAGAUGAUACAGUUACACUGUACAUGCGAAUGUGUGUGUUUUCAAGCGUCAGGGCAUGUCCAGGCCUGAGUUGAGGCAAAGGACGAUUGGCAGUCGUUUAGAAGCAUCUGGAAGAGUCGGUUGACAAGAAGGGUGCGUGCGAGUGGAUUUACGAGGUCUUCGGAGUAUAAUAUAUGUGUAUAACUGUUGUGUGUGAAAUAAAGUGAAUUAUUUGAAUUUCCGAAUCCCUCCUAUAUCUUUACAAUAUAUUAUUGCAUUAAUUGAAGCAAGAUGAAGUUUGCAGAACAUUUGUCUGCUCACAUUACGCCUGAAUGGCGUAAGCAAUACAUAAGCUACGAGGAAAUGAAGGCAAUGCUCUAUACUGCUGUAGAAGAAGCACCGUCAGCUGAAAGUGUUGUUCGUGAUAUUUCGAUCGCACCGAUAGAAAGUUUUGAUCAAACGCAAAUUUUUCGUAUGAUGGGUGAAGAAGAAAAUGGUGUACUCAAUAGAGGUAAACGUAAAGUUGGUGGUAAAUGACAAGCUACUAGUAAAGAAGACAAACAGGCAUUGCUGAAAGAAGAAACAGUUGAUAUAGAUAUAUCAAAUGCCAGUUAAAAAUAGUUCAAUUGUUUUAUUAUCAGAACCUACGCAAAGCAAUAUUAUUCCAAAUUUAAUGUAAUUUUUAUACAGGCAAUAGUUUGCCAGAAAGAGUGCAGGUCGUACUUUAUGAACAAUUAAUAUUUCCUUUGUUCAAAAUUGAAGAUUGUGAGGCUGAACUGAACAAGUGCCUUGUAUAUAUCCUGUUUAUUAAACUAUGAAUUUAAUAACUUAGUGUAAAGAUAUAGAAGGGAUUCGGAAAUUCAAAUAGUUCACUUUAUUCAACACACAACAGUUAUACACAUAUGUUAUACUCUAAAGACCUCGUAAACCUACUCGCACGCUCGCUUGUUGUCAACCGACUCUUCCAGAUGCUUCUUAACGACUGCUUGUCGGAUUUACAUGAUUUGUCGAAUUACUUAAUAGAACCUUUAAACCUUAUUACUUUAUUUACAUUCCUCUUAGUUUACAUUCAUCCAUGACCUAAACCUUUCAAAUUUCUUUCUACACAGUGCCUUCGUAAAAAUAUCCGCAGUAUUUUUGCCUGUACUUACUUCAAUUAUAUUUAUCUUGUUUUGUUGUUGACGAGUGUGCUGUAUUUCGCAUCCUUUAUUUGUUGAUAAUAUAUACGUUCCAAGCAAUGCGGUUGAAUACCCGGCAUCUCGCUGUAUUCUGUAAAAAGACAAUAGUUCGUAGUCAUUUAUCAAUUUAUCAUUUAUCAAUUUGUCAUUUAUCAAUUUUGAUGUAGCUUACUCUAUCGGAGCCUCUUCCAUUUCAAUGUCUCCUUCUUCCUCCUCACCAGUCGUGAUAACAUGAAUGGGGGCCUGGUGGUCCACCCCCAUAGCGAGUAGAGUUGUAGUUCUCGUGUGCAGAUAGUGACUCUAUGAACUUUGUGAAUUCGUUGUUGUUGUGCUCUUUUAUUUCGUUUUUUAUUUCCUUUGCGAGUUUGUUUAGGUGUUUUUUGUUUUCUUUUGUUCUAUGUUUUUGCCAUUUUGCUUUCGCUUUUCUUUUAUCUCU